ACUCAUAAUGGUGUACGUUUCUCAGACAUAAUGGAAAAUUUCCUCAAGUUUCUAAAACUAAGAAAAUUUCCAAGCACCAUACUCUGAAGAUGUUAUUAACACACUAAAUGAGAAAUGGAUUCAAUUUAUUCUAACAUAGGAGCGAAAAGUAAUUUGUUUGACAGAAAAUGCUGUAGUUUACUUCAAUUUUAUGUUUGACCAUGCAAUCCCUGAAAGCUUUGAACAUUUGCUACUCUAAA
rnacentral:misc_RNA from 1 species